AAAGAAGACACAGGCAGGAUGAGAAGCAGGCAGUGGGGUGAGAAUGUCCGAAGCAGUCUGACCCACUGAGGGGUGCCAGGGAGAGGAGUAGGGCAUCCAUUGGGGGUGAAGGAGAGGUCCCACGGUGCACAAUGCAGCUGCCUGCCCUCCCCAGCCCCCCACCCUGCUCCCCAGAGAGACUUGGAUAACCCAGGGCUGGCACACACCGAGGUCUCCCCUGGGCCAGAAGACGCUCCAGGAGCCCCAGUGGGAACAGGAUAACCUCGUCGUUGCUGAUGGUGCCUCCCUCAUGGACAGGGUCUGAUCCAUUUGGUGGUGGCAGCUCAUCUAUCCAGCAGGACACCCUCAUCUAUUCCCAGGAUGCCCUUCACCCACGAGCAGUAAUGCAUUCACCUGACAGCACAACCCCAUUUAUCCAGCACACCAGUCCCAUUUAUCCAGCAAGUACAACCUCAUUUGCUAACAGCACUCCAUUCACCUGACGGGCCCCCUCAUUUAUCCAGCAGGACACCCUCAUUUAUCCUCUGAGUCGGACACUCUCCUUCCUCCUGUGGUGUGGCUGUGUUCUCUGAUGGAGCAAAAGCCGACUGAUCCAGCAGGACGUCAUCUCUACUACAAGUACACUUCAUCCCCUGACAGUACAACCUCAUUUAUCUAAUAAUGCAGCCUCACCUUGCCCCCAAGUACCACCUCAUUCCCUGACAGCACAACCUCGUUGAUCUUCCGGUACAACCUCAUUUCUUCUCCCAACACAGCUUCAUUCUCCAACAGCUCAACCUCAUCUAAUCUUAUGCCUCCAGCCAGGGCCUGCCAGAUCUCCGGGAGCCAAAGGAGAGUGUAGAGAAAAGAGAGGUCCCUCAUUUGCUGUCCCCCACCCACAAGGGCUGCCUGGUGCUAUAACCAUCCAAUUUCUCCAGGCCCAGAAGGGGCCAUGGACUUUGAGUUCUAGGCUGCUUGGCCAAGCCAGAACUCCACUAUUGCCCUGCCUCCUGUUCUGUCCCCACCAUGGCUACAGAGGGCCCACAGGAUGGAUUCUGGGACAUGGACUCAUGGUUGCUGUACCAUCUUCUUAUUUAUUUAUAGCCAGGUUCGUUCAUUCUUUCUUUUCUUUUCUUUUCCUCUUUCUUUCUUUCUUUAGAGGAGGAUUUCUUAUGUUGCCCACGUUGGUUUCAAACUCCUGACCUCAAGUGAUCUUCCUGCCUCGGCCUCCCAAAGUGCUGGGAUUACAGGUGUGAGCCAACUUGCCUGGCCAUCUCUGUGCCAUCUUCUUCUGAUCCUGGGCAGUGGGACUAGGGGAAGUUACCUUUUCUGGGGCACAUUUAGUGGUGUGCUGGCAAAUGUUUAACCACCAGCUCUUCUGGAAGUUAAAAAAAAAACCUACCUGAUUUGAUUUGUAGCUGUUGCUGCUUUCUGUGGUACGGAUACUCACAUCAUAGCCAAUUUUAAACUGCCACAUGACGUCACCGAGUGCAGAAUUGGGAAGAAGUGUGCACGAUCAGCCCUCAUGAGCCAGUGCAAACCAGCUCUCGCACACCACUGGCAUGUGCUUCAAAUGCUGAAGCCAGAGAAGGGCACCACCUACUACAUGCCUAACAUAGGCUAGGCUCCUUUAAUCCUGAUAACCAUCCUGUGAGUAGGUACUGCGAUUUUACAAAGGGGGCAAACUGAAGCUCAGGUGGGUUAAAUGACUCCUGAGGCCACAAAGCUGGGAAAUGACGGAGCCAGGCUUGGGUCUUAGGGCUGCUGGAUUCCAAAGCCAGAGCUCUCCCACACCUACCCCUAAUGUGGCAGGGGACACUCUGCUGUCCACCCCAGUGGCCAUCUCCACCUUGACGCUCAAGCCCAAGCUCUCCUAGCUUUCAUCAGAGACAGGGGACAAGGACUGUGCCCCCACCUACCACCAACCCUGUGCUACCUCCUGGCCUCCCUGGUACCUGGGGUCUUUCAGGAUCCAAGUGCGGCCCUGCAUCUUGUGUCCACCCAUCACAGCCCAAGCCCAAGGUCAGGUGUGGAUGCCUGUCCAGGUUGCAUCACAGUCAAAGGCUCAGCCCAGCCCCUCCCUCAGGAGACUGACCCUGACUACCUGAUGGGGAAAAUGACCCAGCACCUGUUACUGCAGUGACCUCCUGUGGGGCUGUGGUGAGGGCUCUGAUCCCCUCUAUGAUUCCCAUUUCCUCCUUCCCUCCUGGCCUUCCUUCCUGCAUACGGAGAGGUCAAAGACAGGAGACUGAAUCCCAACUUCAUCCAUGUGACAGUGGGCCUCCACUAUAACGAAGAUAACAAUCCCAGCAUCCACAGGGACAUAUGGGACCUGGAUGAAACCUCACAUGUCAAGAAUGUCAUCCCAUCCCUGUCUCAGAGCCCCAGGAGCCUCCCCAUCCUACCCCUUGCCCCCACCCAACUCUGGGGCCCCAGCCUGGCCUAGGAACACACACCUGUGUCAGACAGAGCCACAGACACCCUGAGAGUCACUUGCCCUGCCAUCUGGGGUGAAGUUCAGGUUCUCAGUCCAGGCCUCUUCCUGGCAAAAGAUGUGACCUGGAUGAUGCCAGGGACCCGAGGCCAUGUGCAAAUCCUCGGCACUAGGGUCUGCAGUGGAGAAGGGAUAGAAGGGCAGCUGGGGACCAUGGGACACAGAUGUCUCCAGGUGAGUGGGCUCAGGAUCAGCAGCGGAUCCUAGAGUGGGCAGCCUGGGGCCAGGAGGAACCAAUAUCCAAAGGAAGGCAUGAGGCUCUGGCACCCCCCAGAGAAAGCAGAGCCCACACACCCAGGCUCGGCAGCAAAUAAACCACCAACGAAAGUCCAACCUCACACUGCUCCAAUGCCCAUUCGUCCUUGUCACCUGCGGGCUUGGGUCCAAAACCAGGCUGAUACUAAAGAGCCCUCUGAUGUCCUCCAGCCUCAUCGCCCCCUUCCCUUAGGGCCAUCUGGGCCUCCAACCACCUUGGAUGUCCCCAUCCCUGUGCCUUUGCACACUGUUCCCUUUACUCUUGUCCCUUUCUCUGCUCUAUCAGUUCCUGUUCCUCCAUCAAGGCUAGCUCUGUGGCACCUUCCUCAUCCCCUAUGCAAGCCCCAAAGAUAGAUGCUCCCACCUUAGUGCUCCUGUAGAGAUCUAACAGCAAACCAGAGCAAAGUGGUGUCUGAGCUGGCCUCCCUACUCGAACUCUGUGGGGCAAUCCUUGGCUCAAGAGAAGUCAAGAGAUAGGAUGGAGCCCUCAGUAGCCACGAGCUGCUCAUGCCUGGCAUUUCUGUGUAGUUUCUGUUCAGCAAAAUCUCAGGCCAGAGCUCCAAGGCUUGCCCACCCUCUACCAGGGUCCUGUCUGACCCUCCUCCCUGCUGCUUUCUCCUGCAGCUCCUGUUGCCUCUGCCACCUCCUUACUUGACCCCAGUACUUCCUGCCUCCUUGGGAAAGUGAGGCAGUGAGUGGGGAAGGACUACUGCUUCUGAGACAUUGACCACAUGCCAUGCCCUGUGCUGCCACUCGAAAAUUAUCUCAUUGAAUUUUUGUAACAACCCUCUGGUUGGUUUAUUGUCCCCAUUUUACAGAUGAGAAACUGAGGCUCCAAGAGACAAACUGACUUGCCCAGGGUCGCAUAGUGUAAGUGGUGGUGCAGGAAUUUACACCCAGGGCCCUUGCUCUUUCUCCUGCCCUGAGAGACCUCCAGAGAGGAGCCAAAGCCAAGCAGAAGCUCCAGCGUGAGCCUGGGGUAGGGGCAAGGGGACUCUCCAUACUAGUUCAGCAACCCCUUCACAGACCCUCCUUCAUUCGGGAUUAAAAAGAACCCCUAAAUGCAAAGCAUUCAGACUUUUCCAUCUCCCCUCUCAGUCUGAGCCCCUCCCUCCCUCUGCAGGCAGCACUUCCCCACUCCCCUGCCCCAGGCCCUGGGAGCAGCUGCAGUGACCUCACCCAGCCCUGCCCUGAGCCCAGCUCUGGGGAGGGCCCAGCAGCUGUGCCCCAGCCCUGCAGGCUGGCUCCUGGGGGAGAAAGAGGAAGAGUGGGCAUGGUGCCAAGAGAACCAUCUGCUCUCCCAGGGGCAUGGCCACCCGCACAGACACUGGCCUUGCCCCCAGGGGCUGCCCUUGGUCCCCAUGCCAAGGGGCUCCAGGAGCCCAGGGCGGCCCACCCAGACCGGGGCACCAGCCCUCAUCUGCCAUCUGUCUUCUCCUAGAGACUGAGAGGUCCUUGCAGGACAUGUUGGAGCACUCAAAUGUCCACUGGAAAAUGAACAAGUGAUCAGAGUAAGCCCUAGGGGCAGAGGCCAGAGGCCAGGGUAGGAUGUGCUGAGCACUGCCUCCCCCAGCCCCGGCCCCAGCCUUGUCUGGCUAAGAGCCCUCAAUCCCUUCCCGGGGCCCUCCAUCUCGGCACAUCUGUUCAGCUGGCAGGUGCCUCAGGAAGAGGGCAAGCCCCUUCCCCCAGGGCCCCAGCUCAGGUUACAAGAGGAGGAGGAGGAGGCCAGCUGAGGACAGAGGGAGGGGACAGGAGAGAGAAGGAAGAGGCCUCACAGCUUCCCAGAGUGUUGGGGGAGGGGAACUCAGAGCCAAAGAGGGAAGGGCCAUGCCCAAGGUCACACAGCUUGCCAGUGGGGCAAAGAGGAGCCAAUGUCCAGGGGCGGGCAGUCCUGGGUUCAAGGGUGACCUUGAACAAGACAUGUCCUUCAUCUGUGAAAAUGGGGUGCCUAAAACCUGUCCUGCUUGUCAUCCAAGGCUAUGGAGAAGGCUCUGGAGGCUAGAAAGCAGUGGGCCCACCUAAGGGCAGGAGGGAACUUGGACAUCCUGAAUAUCUGACACCUCGGUCUCAGGGACAAGAAAGGGAAGCAUUAGAGGAAGGACCCUAUUAUUAUCCUAUUUUAUAGAGGAAGAAACUGAGGCUCAGUUGCCCAAGGCUACGCAGAGGGUAAGUAGAGCUAGGCUAUGCCCGCCUGUUUGCCUCCAAGACUCCUAACCACACAGCUUGGCCUCACCUAAGGGAUUCUCAAGGCACCAAGGGGUGCUGCCUAUGCCAGGCCUGAUAUCUGGGACUCUUUGGGCCUCUGCCCUAUCUCAGGCUCAUUUUCUCCCCUGGACCCCAGUAGCAGGCCCACACUGGGCACCUGGGCCAGCCUCUCCCUCCUGUCCACUCCCCACAGCACCCUUGAGUGACCUCUGCCCAUGUCAUUCCCAUGGAGAAUUCGCAGUGAGAAGCCCAGAGCGUGGGAUGCUGCUCUUCAAGGCCACUCACUUGCUUUCCCAGUUUCAACGCCUGCUGGGCCCCACAUAAGCACAGCCAGACCCUCUGCGGCUCCCCACACAGUCCUGAGGCCUUGACCCUCUUUGUCUGCUUUGUCUCCCUUCCCCUCUUCUACCUCCAAACACUCAGCUCAUUAUCUGGCCUUCCAUCAUGACCCUGAGCAGGUUUUACCCUGCAUCAGAGUCAGUGUCCUCCUUUUAUCUCCCUAGCUUGACCCCUGCAGGCUGGGAUCUCAAGGUCAAGGAGCUAGUCCAGUCCCCACCCAGCAGCCCUGCAUAAUAGGUACCCAGUGGAUGUAGCCCUGGAUCACGGAAUGGAGGGAGCUGCCUCAGCCCUGGGGGCUGCAGACCAGGGGAACAUCAGGCUGGUCUGCCCCCACCUUCAGGGUGCUCUCUAUCUGGGAAUGGGAGCCAGGGACCCCAGGGCCAUUCCCCAGGCCAGAAGCCUGAGGGCCAAACUCCAAGGGAUAGCAGAGAGACAAUGAUUGGGAGGGGGAAGGGGCAGAGGGGAGGAAGGUCAGAGCCCUGGGCUAGGGUGGAGUUAGUCCUGGAGAGUUUCGUUUCUGCCACUUAGAGUAGGGUACUGUUCAAGCUGCUUACUUUUCUCAUUCUUUGUUUCCUCACCUGCAAAAUGGGGAAAGUAACCCUACCAGCUUCACAGGGUUGCUGGGAAAUUAAAUGAAAGAAUGUACGUAAUGGCACAUGGCAGGUUGAAUCCUGAGCUGGAAUAGUUCAGUGUGGCUAGGGCAAGGGUCAGAAGAUGGGAGGGUGGCUGGAAAGGUUGACUAGGGCUGGUGGCCAGGCCUUAAGUGUCCUACUAAGGCCCCAGGACUGGAUUAAGCAGCUAUACACAUGACCCUCUUCUCUCCCUCUUCUCUGCUCUCUGAGAGCAGGGGCUGUGACUUUUUUUUUUUUUUUUUUGAGACGGAGUCUCGCUCUGUCGCCCAGGCUGGAGUGUAGUGGUGCAAUCUCAGCUCUCUGCAAGCUCCACCUCCCGGGUUCACGCCAUUCUCCUGCCUCAGCCUCCC
rnacentral:lncRNA from 1 species